rnacentral:rRNA from 1 species
CCUACGGGAGGCAGCAGUGAGGAAUAUUGGUCAAUGGACGAGAGUCUGAACCAGCCAAGUAGCGUGAAGGAUGACUGCCCUAUGGGUUGUAAACUUCUUUUAUAUGGGAAUAAAAUGUUCCACGUGUGGGAUUUUGUAUGUACCCUAUGAAUAAGGAUCGGCUAACUCCGUGCCAGCAGCCGCGGUAAUACGGAGGAUCCGAGCGUUAUCCGGAUUUAUUGGGUUUAAAGGGAGCGUAGGUGGAUUAUUAAGUCAGUUGUGAAAGUUUGCGGCUCAACCGUAAAAUUGCAGUUGAAACUGGCAGUCUUGAGUACAGUAGAGGUGGGCGGAAUUCGUGGUGUAGCGGUGAAAUGCUUAGAUAUCACGAAGAACUCCGAUUGCGAAGGCAGUUCACUGGACUGCAACUGACACUGAGGCUCGAAAGUGUGGGUAUCAAACAGGAUUAGAUACCCUUGUAGUC